AGUGAACGCUGGCGGUAGGCCUAACACAUGCAAGUCGAACGGCAGCACAGUAAGAGCUUGCUCUUACGGGUGGCGAGUGGCGGACGGGUGAGGAAUACAUCGGAAUCUACUUUUUCGUGGGGGAUAACGUAGGGAGACUUACGCUAAUACCGCAUACGACCUACGGGUGAAAGCAGGGGAUCUUCGGACCUUGCGCAAUUGAAUGAGCCGAUGUCGGAUUAGCUAGUUGGCGGGGUAAAGGCCCACCAAGGCGACGAUCCGUAGCUGGUCUGAGAGGAUGAUCAGCCACACUGGAACUGAGACACGGUCCAGACUCCUACGGGAGGUAGCAGUGGGGAAUAUUGGACAAUGGGCGCAAGCCUGAUCCAGCCAUACCGCGUGGGUGAAGAAGGCCUUCGGGUUGUAAAGCCCUUUUGUUGGGAAAGAAAAGCAGCAGGUUAAUACCCCGCUGUUCUGACGGUACCCAAAGAAUAAGCACCGGCUAACUUCGUG
rnacentral:rRNA from 1 species